UACAGAGGGUGCAAGCGUUAAUCGGAAUUACUGGGCGUAAAGCGCGCGUAGGUGGUUUGUUAAGUUGGAUGUGAAAGCCCCGGGCUCAACCUGGGAACUGCAUCCAAAACUGGCAAGCUAGAGUAUGGGAGAGGAUGGUAGAAUUCCAGGUGUAGCGGUGAAAUGCGUAGAGAUCUGGAGGAAUACCGAUGGCGAAGGCGACCACCUGGACUGAUACUGACACUGAGGUGCGAAAGCGUGGGGAGCAAACAGG
rnacentral:misc_RNA from 1 species